UUGCAGACCAGCGAGCUAUCAAUCAAGUCAACAACCUUAAGGAUGCUGCCGUGGCAUUAGUUCAUUCAAAUUCCAGUGAUGAUAAUGGAGGAACAUAAUCAUGGGUAUCAAGGCUCUGAAACACGAGGAGUACUUGCGUCAGGAAUCAUGAUAUCCACACAUACUGAGCUUCUUUCUGAACCCAAUAGUUCACAUGCAGAGGGAUCAGGAGUUAAAAUUCUUCAAUUGAGGGAUUCACAUAAAGGAGACUUCUACAACAUGCAGUGACCUAUCUAAAAUUCUAGGUAUCCAAUGCAUGUACUUCUCUGUUGGUACUUGGUGGCUUCAUAUGUAAGCUGAUGUGGCCUACAUUACCACAUUAGCAGUAACCACUCUAAGCAGUUAUAAGUGGGAGUUACGUAGCGUUCCCCUAACCACCUUGAUGGGAGGUGGUUACUGUGGGUGGUAUAAGGUAAACGUAUGUAGGGUCCCUCAUUUUAUGUCGAUGGUAGAGAAAUCCAUCUCUUCUCUACAUUCCUGAGAGACAAGAAACCAGAAGCACCUCUUUCCAAAACCUUCUUCUCUCUCUCUCUCUCUAACUGGAAUUGCAUCACCUUAGUUAGAGAAUGAAAGGAAUGCAUGGACAGCAAAGGUGGGAUUGCGAUCCUUGAGGAGGUAAGUUCCGCUACCCUCUCCCUUUGGUAAAUGUUCUUACACCAUAAUCUUGUCUCUUCUCUGAUUACCUAUGGUAGAAUGGUAGAGUGCAGAAGAUAUGAUGUCUCAUCUUUUUGGUUUGAGCAAUCUCCACGUCUCCUUGGGAAGUCUGAAUGCUUUCUCAAUUCCAUAUUUGUGACAGCUAUGGCAUGGUUAGAGCAGAAAUCCCAAUUGUAUAAUUUCUGCUUUGUGCAGGAGUUUGGCUUAUUACAAUUCUCGUAAGUAAUUUUUUUGUUGCUGCUAAUGGACAUUACAUUUGCCAUGUUGUUAGCUGACAUGUUCUUUUUAUCAACAUGGGUGCUUUUGAACAAUGAAGGGAGCACCAAAAUGAGGACUACCCUUUGGGGCUGCUCAUUUUUAAUGUUUAUUAAGUAUACCCUCAUUGAUCAUAUGUGACUUCACGUCUCCUCAAUUAUAUCUUUCAUUCUCUUGGUUGGUAUUAAAUUGGUCUUUCGUAUCAUCGUUCCUUCUGUUUUAAGAAGACCUUGUAAUCCAGUUGGUAAUUUUUGUAUUUUAUUUGUUGAUUCAUCAGUUCAGGCAUAGACAUCAAAAUGCUUGAAUAAGAAAACAGUUAAACAGAGCAUAAGUCAUGGUUUAUGUAUAGCAAGUUCAAUUUUCAGAAAUGGAAUUAAGAAGUGAAACAUGUGAAAACUGCAUGAACAUCAAAGCAAGCAGCAGAGUACUGCUGAAAAUGUAGAAAAGGUCAUUCUCAGAUCUUGAAGGGUUGGAAUAAGGGAAGAUUGUUCAACAUAUUCUUGGGAUUUCUCAUAAACUUAUGUGUUUUUCUUGAAAAUCAUAGCCUACGUCUCUUGGCAUAGGAGUCACAAUGAUGAAAUGGCGGUCUUACUACAACGGGAGCAAAUAGGUGGGUCAAGUUGUAAGGAAUUGAAGAUUCUUGAAGGUGUAUUCACCACUGAAGUGAUCGAUUAAUUGGUCAGGACGCGCUUAUCAUCAUUGUGGUACACGCAACAUACAUGCAGAGUUGGACAGACCAAUUUUAAUGGUCAGACCUGCAUAAUUUCUAGAGUUAAAACCAAGCAGAGAUGCAGAUAGCUGUCAAUAUCCAUCUUCUGUUCUCAUUAUGUGUUAUGUUCUUUUGCCUUAAUUGAUGUUGUAAAGAAGGAUUUAAGCAUGCAGGGCCAUAUGCUAAAGCCUCCAGACAGCAUGGGUAAAAGCAUGAAGUUGUUGAAUUGUACUUCAGUGAGUUUGGUGGGUGAGCCCAUGCAAAUUGUUUGGAUCAGAUGAUUGAAUCAAUCUAUCUAUAGAUUUCCUUCGAGCACUGACAACCUACAUCUUCUUUCUUGUUUUGUAUGACACAGCUGGCUGCCUAAUGGCAAAUGCUAAACCAGAAUCAGAGGUGGAGCUUGUGUGGUGAGACACUUACUCCUUAAAAAAAACGAGAGCAACCCAGACACUUUACUCUUUUCUUUAUUUAUUUAUUUUGAUAUUUUUCUAUGUAUGAUGUGUGUGUGUUUAUUUAUUUAUUUUUGGGCUGACUUAAGAACGUGCCUCUUAUGAAGGGGUUAUGUCAUGAUGAGCCUUAAAUUACAUAUAACCCACUUUGUUUCAGAACAUAUGGAAAAUUAGACCUCA